UACGAAGGGGGCUAGCGUUGCUCGGAAUCACUGGGCGUAAAGGGUGCGUAGGCGGGUCUUUAAGUCAGGGGUGAAAUCCUGGAGCUCAACUCCGGAACUGCCUUUGAUACUGAGGAUCUUGAGUUCGGGAGAGGUGAGUGGAACUGCGAGUGUAGAGGUGAAAUUCGUAGAUAUUCGCAAGAACACCAGUGGCGAAGGCGGCGAUCUGGGUCGAUACUGACGCUGAGGUGCGAAAGCGUGGGGAGCAAACAGG
rnacentral:rRNA from 1 species